GAUGAACGCUAGCUACAGGCUUAACACAUGCAAGUCGAGGGGCAGCGGGAUUGAAGCUUGCUUCAAUUGCCGGCGACCGGCGCACGGGUGAGUAACGCGUAUCCAACCUUCCGUACACUCAGGGAUAGCCUUUCGAAAGAAAGAUUAAUACCUGAUGGUAUGAUGAGAUUGCAUGAUAGCAUCAUUAAAGAUUUAUCGGUGUACGAUGGGGAUGCGUUCCAUUAGGUAGUAGGCGGGGUAACGGCCCACCUAGCCUACGAUGGAUAGGGGUUCUGAGAGGAAGGCCCCCCCANAUUGGAACUGAGACACGGUCCAAAACUCCUACGGGAGGCAGCAGUGAGGAAUAUUGGUCAAUGGACGAGAGUCUGAACCAGCCAAGUAGCGUGAAGGAUGAAGGUCCUAUGGGUUGUAAACUGCUUUUAUAAGGGAUAAAGUGAGUCUCGUGAGACUUUUUGCUAUGUACCUUAUGAAUAGGACCGGCUAAUUCCGUGCCAG
rnacentral:rRNA from 1 species